GAUGAUUAAAGGGCUGGCCCUUUAAUUAAUAGAUGUAAGAAAUAUGUGGCUUAGUUUGAAGAUUUUUUUUUUGAAGAUGUUUUAAUCUUUUCAACAAAAGAUUCUUCUUUACUUAUUUUCUAGUUGACUGUGCUCUUCCUUUUUGCCCAUGUUUUUUACCAUUAAAAACCAUGAUGUUUAGAUGAGGAGUUUCAAAAGCAGGAUACACAGAGAUACAGAUAGAUUAAAAGGAGAAAAAGAAGAGAUAAAAGUUUGGCAGAUUGGGUAAGAUAAACAAGGAGAAAUGUGACGACCUCUGUGAAACUUCAGGUAUCUCAAGAUGAUAAUGGACAAAUAUUUGGCGAACUGAACUGAUGACAUAAGUUGGAUGGUUUUCCCUUACCUUAUUUGUAUUCACCGCUGUGAUGACCCAGACGCAUUGUGCAUUGCUGUCAUACUGGAAUGGGAAGUUGGGAGACGUAAAGGUGCCACUUGGUCCUUGAAGAUUAGAGCCACACGUCUUCACUAAAAGAGAAAUUGCAUUUUAAAAGAAUUGCCACAGCCACCCCAACCGUCAACAACCACCACCCUGAUCAGUCAGUAGUGAUCAACAUCGAGGCAAGACUCUCUUACCAGCAAAAUGAUUACAACUUCCUGAAGCUCACAUGAUGGACAGCAUUUUUUUGCAAUAAAGUAUUUUUUUUUUGUUUUAGAUAUAGUGCAGUUACAUAUAAUACUACAGUAUAGUAGAGACAUAACUUUUACAUGCACUGGGAAACCAAAACACUCAUGUGAUUCACUUUAUUGUGAUAUUUGCUUUAUUUUUGGUGAUCUAGAACCAAACCCACAGUAUCUCCAAAGUAUGCCUACACACACACACACACACACACGCAUACAUAUAUAUGGUGUCCACAUGUGUGGACUCACUACAGCCUGAGGAAAUGAAUCAUGAAGCACUAGCUAUCAAAAAAAAAUGAAAGGCCUUCAAUGCAACAUAAUUUAAGGCUUGGUGAAGAACAAUGAAUGUCAAAAAAUGAUUAUACAGUAUUUUUAAGAAAAGGAAAAAUGUAUAUUUUUCAAAUGUAUCAAACAACCAAAUCAAAUGUUAAUAUUUUUCUUUGAAUUCUUUAAAUAUGCUUGCAUGAAUUGCUAGAAACU